GGUCUUGUAUUCAAAAUAUGAUAUUGAAUUGCAAAUUCAUUGUUGCUUAUAAGCUAAGGCUU
rnacentral:tRNA from 1 species